GUGACAGCGUCAUGAAUUGAUGUCUCCAGCAUCACGGUCUGUGGGUGACAAAUGGGAACGCAUCCCCAUCAGCAAACCCCGCUGAACCAACAAGCAUCGCUCCUGCCCCCCUGCAUUGCUUGGGCAUCGCCCCAGCCUGUGCUUUUGCUUGUGGUAAGCAGAAAGCACCUGUCCCUGGGGUGUGCAGGCCAGCUUGGCAAGCCAGGACCGUCACUACCCAGGAGAGAGCACUCCCCUCGUGCCUGCAGGACCGAGCGCUGGGGACACAGCUGGACUGGCCAGACUCCUCUGAGCCGUAAGUCCCCACGCAGCGCUCUGCUUGGGAAAACAGCCGAGAGCAGCUCUCUGGAGACGUUUGCUGUGUCUGCAACAGAGGGGAGGGAAGUGAGACCAGCCAGGGACCAGAACAGAGGGAAAUGGCCUCUGGGUAGACAUGUGGAUGAGGAGGAAAUGCCAAGCCCCAAGCCCAUCAGCCGGGGCAGCACAGGUGAAUUCACAUUGCUCCCAGUGAUUGCUGUCCUCGUGGUCUGAGUGUAUGCUGAGGGUGAUUUGGAAGAGUUGAUUUCUUGACUAGGACUAAUGGAGGAAUUUUGGGACAUGCAGGUCCUUUUUAAGUUGCAACUAAUGACAUCAGCCCUUGACUGGGAUCAGCACAUGGCUCCUCUUUCCGCACCAGGAGACCAGGGGAAUCCCUCGUACAAGGUUUGGUGCUCACGACUCAGCAGUCUGUGCAGCAGCUGGGAGGCAACAGCCCCCAGGAAAAACGAAUCCAGCUUCCCUGCUUGGUACCUUCCUGCACAAGCAGGUUACUGGGGGGUAGGGGGAACAGGCAAAUGCAGAAAUGUACUUACACCUCCCAGGAUCCAUGGGCAUGGCUGAGGGAAACCUCUUUUGAUGGGGAAGGGCUCUCCGAAAACCAUGAGCAGAGCAAUCUAGCUGGUAGCUCUGGUGUGCUGCAGCAGCCUGGCCCUGGGUUUCAAAUGGGGAACACUCAUGACAUGAAUGGAUUCAAGUCAGGAAGAGCCUUCGCACUGGCAGUGGGCUUACAGGAAUGAGUUAAAAUCAUUUUGUUUGCUUUGUGAAAUUUAUUAAAAACUACAUUGUUCAUCUGCUGAAACUUCACAGCUGUUGAGAUUGCCCUCAGGGCAAACCACAUCCAAGAAAUGGCAUGUAGAUCUUGGGAGCACAAGACUUGAAAGCUGAAAUUGCACUCUGCAGCGCUGCCUUCGCUUCCCGUGCAGUCACGUCGAGCCAUCUGUGGCUCCUCCAGUUAGACACCACACUUCUUAAUUCCUACUUUUUCUCAUCUCUGACUCUCGCAGUGGAAUCAGCCCUGCAGUGCAAGUACUUCAUUUCAAAGCCUUGUGUUUUGGCUAAAAAGGGACAGAGGUAGGAUGCAGGCGGCAAGAGAUCUGUGUGGGAAGUGGGUGCUCAGAGCCCAUGGCAUUCAGUGUCAGAUACAGCCAGGCGCCGUGCUGCAGCAGAUGUGCCAUCGGGUAUCACCUCCCUCUGACGUUACUGCUUCGUUGUC
rnacentral:lncRNA from 1 species